rnacentral:rRNA from 1 species
UACGUAAAAGGCAAGCGUUGUCCGGAAUCAUUUGGGCGUAAAGAGCGUGUAGGCGGCUCGAUAAGUCUGCUGUGAAAGUCCAGGGCUCAACCCUGGAAGGCUGGUGGAAACUGUCGGGCUAGAGUCCGGAAGAGGCGAGUGGAAUUCCCGGUGUAGCGGUGAAAUGCGCAGAUAUCAGGAGGAACACCAAUAGCGAAGGCAGCUCGCUGGGACGUUACUGACACUGAGGCGCGAAAGCGUGGGGAGCGAACAGG